CUGCGUACAAGCAGCUGCGGUCGCACAUCAUCAUCAUGGCCUCCUGCGCCGCCGUCAUCCGCGCCACCCCUUACAUCCUCCAUUUCCUCGCCCGCGACGGCGACAUCCAGGAACUCAAGCUCGAUCUGUAGGCCCGUCCGUUGCUUCCCCACCUCCAGAGGUGCUACAAAGGCAACCGUUAGUUCGAGGCCACUGCAAGCAGACAGUGCUGAGGUCAUCGAUGGUAUCACAAGGAAGGAUGAUUCUUGUGACAUGCUCGCGUUCUGGGUUCAAGUCGGCUCGCAGCGGACUGGAAUCUGA
rnacentral:misc_RNA from 1 species